UACGUAGGCGGCGCUGUUAGUCGGGUGUGAAAUCCCUCGGCUCAACCGAGGAAUUGCGUCCGAUACUGCAGUGCUUGAGGGAGACAGAGGUAAGCGGAACUGAUGGUGGAGCGGUGAAAUACGUUGAUAUCAUCAGGAACACCGGUGGCGAAAGCGGCUUACUGGGUCUCUUCUGACGCUGAGGUACGAAAGCUAGGGGAGCAAGG
rnacentral:rRNA from 1 species